AUUGAACGCUGGCGGCAGGCCUAACACAUGCAAUUCGAACGAGUGGCUGACGGGUGAGUAAUGUCUGGGAAACUGCCUGAUGGAGGGGGAUAACUUCUGGAAAUGGUAGCUAAUAUCGCAUACCUUCGGAUGUCCCCAGAUGGGAUUAGCUAGUAGGUGGGGUAAAGGCUCACCUAGGCGACGAUCCCUAGCUGGUCUGAGAGGCUGACCAGCCACACUGGAACUGAGACACGGUCCAGACUCCUACGGGAGGCAGCAGUGGGGAAUAUUGCACAAUGGGCGCAAGCCUGAUGCAGCCAUGCCGCGUGUACGAAGAAGGCCUUCGGGUUGUAAAGUACUUUCAGCGGGGAGGCGUUACCCGCAGAAGAAGCACCGGCUAACUCCGUGCCAGCAGCCGCGGUAAUAC
rnacentral:rRNA from 1 species